rnacentral:lncRNA from 1 species
UAACUUAAAAGACACUACAUAAACUAUGCACUGGUGGAACUAUUCAUAAGACCAGAGCAAAUAUACAAUCAGCUAGCUGAAGUCAUUUCGAAAUAUAGAGAAUGGCUAUAGAUUCGGGUCUUAGAUCAACGUUGUUGCCACUUUUCCUCCUCGCCAUGGUCCUCUCUCCAGCAUUGCCAGCUGAGGCAGCUCGACUCCCUCAUCGAGGUUAGCCAUUCAUGUGUACAUUUAAUAUUAUCUGAUAUAUAUUUGGGGUACGUAUUUCUAUUGAAUGAUAUAUGUUUGAUGUGUGUAGAGCUGCUUGGAGGAGGAGCACUAUGUGUUGCUUGUGUAUGCUGUACUCGACCACCACCAGGAAAGUGCUGUGCCAAGUGUUGCGCCUCUCCUAUAGUUGAUCAAUCUCGAACUGCUUCUCCAUGAGAUUCAUCGAUAAAUAUAUGAUCAAAUAGUGAUGUUCUGAAGCUGGUCAAUGAAUGAUCUUACAUGUCUAAAACUAUCUUAUGGUUCAUGUAUUAAUAAUAUGGAUGUAAAUUCCUCUGUUGUGGGUGUUGCUGUUUUCUCACUACUGUUAUCAGUUUGAAGUUUGGAAAAUUAUUCAUUUGGUUGUUUGAUGGUGAGCUUCCCAUCUCUGCACGUGCUUAUGUUAACUUCUUUUUCUUCUAAUAUAAUUAUUCUU